UCAGGUAUUAGGCAAGCGAGUUUAGCCAAGCGAGUACAGGCAAGCGAGUUUAGCCAAGCGAGUAUAGGCAAGCGAGUCAAGCUAAGCGAGUUUAGGUUUUAUGCAAGCGAGUUUAGGUAAGAGAGUCAAGUUACUUUAGGCCUCACUUUAUUUGCGGUUAAAUUGCGGCAUUAGGUUUAGAAAGAAGGUUAAGAUCCAGGCUCAGGUUUGCUUCCAGCCUCGUCCCUCUAGUCGCUCCCUAUAAAGAGGGUUCCCAGCUACCGUGUUAAAAUACAACAGCUGGGAUUACAGAUAUGGAGUACAGAAAUAAAUGACAAAGAUUGAUUCAAACAUUCUUCCCCCAAAAUGUGGUGCAACAUAAAA